UGUGAGUGUGUAAGAGCGCAUGGUGGAUGCCUUGGCAUCAGGAGCCGAUGAAGGACGUGGAAAUCUGCGAUAAGCCUCGGGGAGCCGAUAAACGGGCUGUGAUCCGAGGAUGUCCGAAUGGGGGAACCCCGCCGCAUGCGAGUGCGGUGACCCGCACCUGAAUAUAUAGGGUGUGUGGAGGGAACGCGGGGAAGUGAAACAUCUCAGUACCCGUAGGAAGAGAAAAUAAGAAUGAUUCCGGGAGUAGUGGCGAGCGAAACUGGAUGAGCCUAAACCGUGUGCGUGUCAAGCGUGCUGGUGUUGCGUACAUGGUGUUGUGGGGUGUGUGUGUUCGGUUCAGCAUGACCGAGACGCUGAUGAGUGCUUACGUGUAGUCGAAGCUGGUGGGAAACAGUACCGGAGUGGGUGAGAGUCCCGUAGACGAAACGCGUGGCCCCGGUGUGACACGUGUCCCCGAGUAGCACGGAACUCGUGGAAUUCCGUGUGAAUCUGCCAGGACCACCUGGUAAGGCUAAAUACUUCCUGAUGACCGAUAGCGGAUCAGUACCGUGAGGGAAUGGUGAAAAGUACCCCGGGAGGGGAGUGAAAGAGUACCUGAAACCAUGUGCUUACAAUCCGUCAGAGCACCCGUGUUGGUGUGAUGGCGUGCCUUUUGAAGAAUGAGCCUGCGAGUUAGCGGUGCGUGGCGAGGUUAAC
rnacentral:rRNA from 1 species